GCGCCGCCCGCUGCGGUGAGUUGGAGCCCGGCCUGUUUCUGGCCACUGUGCCGGGAGCUCCAGGCCCUCUUUGGCGGGGUGGCGCCAUCUUGGACGAGUGACCUUUUGCUCGGGACUUCUGGACACUGUGGACACUUUCUGGGAUGCACUGUCUUGCCCUCCUGCGCCUAUGGCCUAGACUCUACCACCUGGCUCGCUGAUCCUCUCCAGAGAGUGAACCUCCUCUUUUGUCUAGUGGGGUCUUGCUUGGAGUUCCGUGGUCCAGCAGUGCCUAUGUGAAUGACUUGGUUAAGAAAAUAGGCAUUUUUCUGUGUUCACAGAUAGGAGGAUGGGAGAGCAAAAUCUACCCAGUUUUGCUUUUUCCCCUGCUACAUCUUCACAGGGCCGCUCUGGGAAGCAAUACUCAUCCCGUUCCAGAAGAACAAAAUCACAGCAUGACGUUGAAACCUGGGGGGAACUUAGCCAUCUGCCUGCGAAAGUGUGGAGCUUCGGCACUGCCAAGCUCUGGGAUGGGCGGGUCCCGGGGCUGGUCCGGCGUUUAACUUGCCCCAACAGGUAGCCUGCCUGCGGCAUCCCUGAAGACCAGGAGGAUGGGCCCCCAGGCAGGAACAGGUGGAAUUCUUGCUGACUCUAAUUGAGGAGUUUUAUGGAGCAGGCUAUGCAAAUACAUGCGAAGAAGGAGAGGCAAAAACAAGUCAAGUCAUACACUGAAAGAGAAUUUAUUUUAAAGGCGAUGGAGUUGAUGCUUUUAAUAAA